GACGAACGCUGGCGGCGUGCUUAACACAUGCAAGUCGAACGCGCCUGUCCUCUGGGUUUCUGGUGGGUGGGUGAGUGGCGAACGGGUGAGUAACACGUGAGUAACCUGCCCCCUUCUUCGGGAUAACGGUCUGAAAGGGCUGCUAAUACCGGGUAUUCACUGGUCUCCGCAUGGGGUCUGGUGGAAAGGUUUUUUUCUGGUGGGGGAUGGGCUCGCGGCCUAUCAGCUUGUUGGUGGGGUGAUGGCCCACCAAGGCUUUGACGGGUAGCCGGCCUGAGAGGGUGACCGGUCACAUUGGGACUGAGAUACGGCCCAGACUCCUACGGGAGGCAGCAGUGGGGAAUAUUGCACAAUGGGCGCAAGCCUGAUGCAGCGACGCCGCGUGAGGGAUGGAGGCCUUCGGGUUGUGAACCUCUUUCGCCCGUGGUCAAGCCGCGACGUGGGUCGUGGUGAGGGUAGUGGGUAAAGAAGCGCCGGCUAACUACGUG
rnacentral:rRNA from 1 species